AUUGAACGCUGGCGGCAGGCUUAACACAUGCAAGUCGAGCGGAGAUGAGGUGCUUGCACCUUAUCUUAGCGGCGGACGGGUGAGUAAUGCUUAGGAAUCUGCCUAUUAGUGGGGGGACAACAUUCCGAAAGGAAUGCUAAUACCGCAUACGUCCUACGGGAGAAAAGCAGGGGAUCUUCGGACCUUGCGCUAAUAGAUGAGCCUAAGUCGGAUUAGCUAGUUGGUGGGGCAAAGGCCUACCAAGGCGACGAUCUGUAGCGGGUCUGAGAGGAUGAUCCGCCACACUGGGACUGAGACACGGCCCAGACCCCUUCGGGAGGCAGCAGUGGGGAAUAUUGGACAAUGGGGGGAACCCUGAUCCAGCCAUGCCGCGUGUGUGAAGAAGGCCUUAUGGUUGUAAAGCACUUUAAGCGAGGAGGAGGCUACUGAGACUAAUACUCUUGGAUAGUGGACGUUACUCGCAGAAUAAGCACCGGCUAACUCUGUG
rnacentral:rRNA from 1 species